AUUGAACGCUGGCGGCAGGCUUAACACAUGCAAGUCGAGCGAGCGGCGGACGGGUGAGUAAUGUCUGGGAAACUGCCUGAUGGAGGGGGAUAACUACUGGAAACGGUAGCUAAUCCCGCAUACCAUCAGAUGUGCCCAGAUGGGAUUAGCUAGUAGGUGGGGUAAUGGCUCACCUAGUCGACGAUCCAUAGCUGGUCUGAGAGGAUGACCAGCAACACAGGAACGGAGACAGGGUCCAGACUCCUACGGGAGGCAGGAGAGGGGAAUAUUGCACAAGGGGCGCAAGCCUGAGGCAGCCAGGCGGCGUGUGUGAAGAAGGCCUUCGGGUUGUAAAGCACUGUCAGCGAGGAGGGGUUAAUCGCAGAAGAAGCACCGGCUAACACCGUGCCAGCAGCCGCGGUAAUUC
rnacentral:rRNA from 1 species